rnacentral:lncRNA from 1 species
CACAUACCUACUUUGUUGAUCUUCUCUACCCAACCCCAUAACCCCUUUCCCUACCAGCUUCCUGCUGGUCCCUCCCCACAAUAUAUCCUAACAUGGUUUCAAGUCACUUCAAUUCUAUUACUCUUUUCCCCUCUCCCUUAAGACUUCUUUUUCCUUCUCAUAGUUCUCUUCCAUGGCUGCAGGGAGUGACCCAACUGGGCAAUAAGGGAAUGAAGAAUGGACAGACAUACAGACAGACACAGAAAAGCUGAAAUGAGGUCAUCUGGACUCUCUGACAGAGAAGCUACAGCCCUCCCCACCUCCCAGGUAGGUUAUUACAGACAGAUAAACAAGGACAUGGGUUAUUUAUUAUAUCCAGCUAAACAAAGACACGGGGUUAUUAUAUGCAGCUAAACAAUAAGGCAGGUUUAGCUAAUCUCAUUAAAGGCAGUCUGUAUGAAAACUGAAAACUGCCUUCAGGGUAUAAACAUGAGGGGAAGAAAGCUACAGGGGACAUUUUACACACAUACUAUCAGGAUUUUCACACUUCGAGCCCAGGCCAAGGAAGGCUUGCCAUUCCUCUGACGUUCCUCUGGGGAAGGCUUUAGUCACCUCCACUGCGGCCAAGGGGUUGGAAUCCUUGACACGGCUGUGGCCAUGUCAACAGUACACAUAAUCUCAGGACUUCACUUGCUCCUACAAUCCCCUAUCUAGAUUCAUGCCCUAUACCAAAACACACACACAUUAAAAAUUAAUACUAGAAUUCAUAUAUGAAAAAAGCAAGCAAUUGUUAUCUUUUGAGUCUGGGUUACUUAGUGAUUUCCAGUUUUGUAUACUUUGCUGCAAAUGUCAUGCUUUCACAGUGUGUGUGUGUGUGUGUGUGUGUGUGUGUGUGUGUGUGUGUGUCUGUGUCUGUGUCUGUGUGUGUCUAUGUAUCUGUGUGUGUCUGUGUGUCUGUAUGUGUCUGUGUAUGUGUGUAUAUGUGUGUGUGCAUGCAGGCACAUGUAACACAUUUUAUCUACUCAUUCAUCAACGGCUAUCUCCACUGGUUCUGUUUCCUUGGCCAGCAUGCGCAGAGCACAGCAUGGAUGGACAGUAUGUCUGUGGUAUGACUUGGCAUCCUUUGGGUAACUGCCCAGGAGUGACAUAGCUGGGUCAUAUGGUAGUUGUAAUUUUAGUUUUCUGAGAAACCUCCAUACUGAUUUCCAUAAUGUCUGCAUCACUCUACACUCCCACCAGCACUGAGUAAAGAGGAGCUCUCUGCCUCAUUACAGGGAGAAGCUGUAUAAUCACAGAGGUAGCCUGCAUCUGUGUGGCUGUGGUGUGAUGUGGUGUGAGCCAUCGCAGCAGGGUAAUUUCCUCCCUGGUGGUUUCCCUACAUCAGUUCGUCCAAGCAGAGCUUUAGCAGCAAAAUCCAAAAUUCCUUCAAGUAUUUGCAACAGACCUGGUAAAUUCAAGGGUUUUAACAUUUGCAUACACACACACACAAAACAUAUGUGUGUGUACAUAUAUAUGUAUGCAUGUAUGUAUGUAAAUGUAUGUGUAUAUAUAGUCCCUAAAUGUGUAUGUUUAAAGGAAAAGUAACCAAAAAUUAUGUUUUCACAGCAAAAAAAGGAAAAUAACCACUUUCCUCUUCUACAUCAAGGGAAAUAUGGCUCUUCUACAUUCCUCUCUGACCCUCCUACAAGACAUUUCUUAAAUCUUUUCACCUAUUGCCACA